rnacentral:lncRNA from 10 species
GCAGGGGCGGGAGCAGAGGGGGAGGUAAUCUUCCCUGGAAUAUUAAUGGCCCCGUCAGGAGUGCUGGGGACGAGCUGAGCAGCAAUCUGCCUUUAUUAACAAGGCGGGCGCCAGCUGGAGCGCGGGGCCCGGGAGAGAGGAGCUGCUGCAGCAGAGGCAGCUGCGGGGAGCUGCCCUCCUGGCCAGGGCAGCAGGAAACAGAUGUGAUGACCAGAGGUGCAGCAGCCACCAUGUGACCAUGAGGAGGACAUGUAUAGCUAUGACAGAGCAGGAAAACAGAGAUCCCACGUCCCCAGGGACAUCUUUGAGCUACUGUAUCAGCUCAGGACUGCCUUCUCCCAGACUUCUUAUUGGACAAGCCAAAUAAACUCCUCCUUUGUUUAAGUCUCUCUGCAGGCAUUUCCUGUUACUUACUGCCUAAUAUGUUCCUAGCUGAUGAGAUUCAACCAUAAGCAGUUUGGCUCCAGAGCCCCUGAUCUUAGCAAUCUUGUCCUCCCUGUCACUGAGUUUGUAGAAGACAAAUUUGAAGGCUCUUCAUGCCAUAACUUAUUUUGAAAGACAUUUUUUAAGAGUAGUUUUAGGAUCACAUCGAAAGAAAAAGAUACAGAGAGUUCCUAUAUACCCCUGCCCCCUACAUUCACAGCCUCCCCAUUAUCAACCCCUGCACCAGAGUGGUACAUGUGCUACAAUCAAUGAACCUACAUUGACACAUCAUUAUCACCCAAAGUCAUAGAUUACACUAGGAUUCACUCUUGGUAAUAUACAUUUUAUGGGUUUGGAUGAAUGUACAAUGACAUGUAUCUACCACUGUGGUAUCAUAUAGAGUAUUUUUGCUACCCUAAAAAUCUGCUGUGCUCUGCCUAUUCCUCCCUCCCCCUCACCCCCUAAACCCUUGGCAACCCCUGAUCUUUUUAUCGUGUUCAUAGUUUUGCCUCUUCAGGGAUGUCACCUAGUUGGAAUCAUACAGUAUGUGGCCCUUUCAGAUUGGCUUCUUUCACUUAGUAAUAUGCAUUUAAGGUCCAUCCAUGUCUUUUUAUGUCUUCAUAGCUUAUUUCUUUUUAGCACAGAAUAAUAUUCCAUUGUCUGGAUGUACCACAGCUAUUUACCCUUCAUUUACUUAAGGGUAUGUUGGUUGCAUCCAAGUUUUGCAACUAUGAAUAAAGCUGCUAUAAAUAUCAUGUAUAAG